rnacentral:lncRNA from 1 species
UUUUUUUUUUAUUUUGUUUAAAUUUAGAGAUGCAGUAAUUGUUGCGAAGCACUGGCAUUUUGUGUAUUCAAUAAGUGAUGUACAUUUUUAAGGUAAUUUUAAAUAAAUGCAAUGGCAGCCCCAUGAAAGGUCUUUCUGUUAUUUUUUUUUCCUUCUUUUUUUUUUUCCUGAGCUCAUCUACAAGUUAAUUCUCUGAAACACUUAACACAGAGAAACUGAAUAAGAAAAUGAACUCGUGGUAUUUCAAACAUUUUAUGAUAUUUGAUUAGUAAUCUUUCUCUCUUUUUUUUUUCCCGUUGCUAAAACUGAGCAAAUGAACUAGAAUUUAAUGGACUGUGAACAUCUAUCAACUUACACUGUUCUAAAAUAGAUCCCAUAUUUUAAAAGCAGUGCCUUUCACUAAGGAGACACAAAUGAUAAUACUACUUAGAUAUGUCCUCUGUUUUUCACAAGUGAAUAAAUGCUUUAGUCAUAUUCCGGAUCUACCCUAUGCACUGCCCAUGAUAAGGAGAUUCUAAUAUUCACUAACUUGUGAGCCCAUAUUGAUCUCAUUCACAAGUUUAUUCUCUGUGCAGUACUGACCCAUCUUCUCUAUUAGAGCUCACACCUCAUUUCCACCAAUAUGCUGUGCUCACUAAUAAAGUGAAAAGUAAAAACAUCUGGCACGUUUUGACAAACCCAAUCCUCUUUAGUCAACCUUCGAGAACCCAGAAUUAACCCACAUUGUUUGGUGUGUGGUUUUCGGGACUUAAUGCCAAAUAUAUGAGAUGACAGUUGUGCUUUGUUCUCACAGUACUGAUAAUAAACUGAAGUCAUACAUGUUGGCUGAUAGCUUUAAAUGGCUUUAAAUUAGUUUGAGAUAUGAAUGACUUAAAGAUUAGUUUGAGAUAUGAAUGGUCUGAGAUCCAUGGAUUGAGCAGAAGCUUGAAAUUACAUGUAAUUUCCACUUAGCCCACCCAGGUCUAGAAUUAUCUGAUAGCAAAGCAGGCAAGUUGAAGAAACGAAACACUCACGCUCUAGCAAGGUUUUUAACUCCAUGUGUCAGCAGUGUGAAAACUCCAAUGGACUAUCAUAAUCAGGACGUCUUUUCUGCCCAUCCAUUUGAGAGCUUGGGGGAGAACAAGUUCCAGAUCUCCAGAAGUGAGCAUGGAUAUUCAGCCCUAGAACAAAACUAGGUAAUUGUUGGCCUCUCUUUGAUUGCUUGGGAUUUGGAGGAGGCUCCUAAUGAGUGUAAGGUAGUGAACCAGUCAGUCCUUUCCAGUUGCAGGAGGAGAUCCAGCCAGCCUCGUUUAUAGCCCUCAAUUCCUUCCUCACAACUGUAAUAACAUUUCCAACAGGGAUGAAAAGGAGGAGGGGGGAAAUACUUCAGGCAAAGGAUCAAUAGACAUUCAAGAGGCAGCUCAUCGUGGGUUUCUAUGGGACACUAGUGAAAAUACUCUAUGCUGCUGACUUGUUUCUCUCCAAAAUAUUUAGAGCAUUAGUGACAAUGUGGAGAACUUUGCUGACUGAGCUGGUCAAUGGAAUGUGAAGGCAGUAUACUUUAAGGCUAUUUACUCUCACACAGAAUGUUUAUCUAUUAGUCAAUUUGUAUUCUACUCAAAUGCAGAUAGACGGGUAUAAUGUUUUCUUGUGCAUUUGAAACCUAUCAAGGAGAAAAUAAACCAUUCCACUAAAAUACAUAGGCCAAACACCAUCUGGACAAGUGAUAAACACUAUCCAGAGGCUAUACUAAAUGCAAGGUCAAUUUACAUGGGCUGCAGAGCACUUGGCUAUGCAGUUUUGAAAUGUAGACUUCCAAAAAAAAAUUCCAAAUUAAUUCUUGCAAUAGGUCAUUGUAAAUUUAAAUAUAUUUCUGAGUUGGAAAGGAUGUUUUAGAGGCAUUUAGAAUUUCUUUCUCUGAAAAUAUAUACAACCUCAAGCAGGAAGGUAUUUCUGUAUGCCCACUCUCAUGUUUCUUAGCAAGAAUUGGGAAUCCUGAUUAUUAAGUCCGUAUUACAGAGUGAAAGGCACGUAGUUUAUUGAACUAUUGAGGCCACUAAAGUUCUGAUAUAUAUAAAUAUAAAUAUAAGUAUAAUGUGUGUGUGUGUGUGUGUGUGUGUGUGUGUGUGUGUGUGUGUAUGAGUGUGCUGUGUCAACCACCACCUAUUUGAACUUUAAAAUGAACCCAUUGUUUUACAUUAUCUGGAGGUAACUGCUUGCUUGCUUUUUUCCUAUGUGCCAAAAUACACAUGACUCCUUCAAAAUUCUGUUCAAAUAUGACUUUUUUUUUUAGUAAAACCUUCAGUUUUGAAUCAUUUGCCGAUGUAAUGAAACACACUAGCAAAGACAAAGCGAUUAGUAUUUCAGAUUUCACCACCAGCUAUACUUGUGACUAACCAACCCAUGAACUAAAAGCUCACAGUCUGCUAAGACCUUUGGUUGACAUUCGAUUUUGAACCUGCCAGAUGCGUUUGUGUGAACCAGGGAUACUGCAUCUUUAAUGAACAAGUCUCUCCUCUUUCCCCUGUUUUUAAAUACAACACAAGGGGUGUAGCACUAGGCACUGCAAUUGUCAAAGACAAUUAGACUGAAAGCAGGGAAAUCUCACCUCCCUGUCUCAGUGAUAUGUAGAAUGUGGGCAGCCUGGGUCAGCCUUGCCACAGAGUGGUGUGAGAAGAUAUGAAUCAGUCCUAUAGAAUGUUAAAUAUUUAUAAAAUGGGUUUGUAGUGCGCCAAGGUUGGGAGCACAUUCAUUUCUUCUUUUUGUCUUAUG